GACAGAGGCCUCGAGCGUUAGGCGGAAUCACUGGGCUUAAAGCGUGUGUAGGCGGGCCCGUAAGUGUCUUGUGAAAUCCCACGGCUCAACCGUGGAACUGCUGGGCAUACUGCGGGUCUUGGGCCAACUAGGGGCAGCCGGAACAAGCGGUGGAGCGGUGAAAUGCGUAGAUAUCGCUUGGAACGCCGAAGGUGAAAACAGGCUGCUGGGGUUGCGCCGACGC
rnacentral:rRNA from 1 species